rnacentral:misc_RNA from 1 species
GAUGACGCACCCAAUUGUUUACCAAUGUUUAAAUGCCACCGGUGACACGCGGUACACUGUAACGGGUAGGGCUAGUUAUAUUUGAGGGGGAAUUACAGCUUUAAGAUUGAUUGUAUCCCUUGUAACGUGUAUCCCACAGUCCACGUAUGCUGCGUAAGGCUACUCACCAGAUAAUAGAAAGGUGGUGGACGCACGCCAAGGUUAAUGUGAGGAAUACAUUGUGUGAAGGCCAAGGUGAAGGCCCCGCUGCCUCCACGAUCAGGCUGCUGAUCAGGAGGAUGCGGGCAAGCUUCAGACUGAAUCUAAAUUUCUUGGGGAAGUUCUUCUUGGCCAUCAUUAGUGUCUUUUUAUAUUGUGAAUUCUUCCAUUACUAUGUAGUUCUGUCUCAGUGUGGGUGGCCGGCCCUUGAUCCCAGUGCAGCUGACCAGAGUGUGAGUGAUGCUGGGACACAGCUCCACGCGAUGGUCCUGUCCGACACUCACCUCCUGGGACGCAGAAAUGGCCAUUGGUUUGAUAAGUUACGCAGGGAGUGGCAGAUGCACCGAGCUUUUCAGACCACCGUGACACUGCACCAGCCAGAUGUCUUCAUAUUUCUGGGUGAUCUAUUUGAUGAGGGCAAGUGGUGCCAGCCAGAGGAAUUUGUAGAGUAUGUGGCACGCUUCCAGAAACUCUUUGCAAUGCCAGAGGAUGCUGAUGUUUUGGUAGCAGUUGGCAACCAUGACAUUGGCUUCCACUACAGUGUCAACCCAUACCUGCUGGACCGAUUCCAGCGAACAUUUGACGUGGGACCGGUGAAGCUCGUCCAGAUUGCCGGCGUCACUUUCAUCAUCCUGAACAGCAUGGCAAUGGAGGGAGACGAGUGCUUUCUCUGCAAGCCCGCAAAGAACAAAGUGAAGGUUAUAUCAAGACAGCUGAAGUGUGCCAAGGGGGACAAAGAGGCAUGCAAGUACUGGCAGAAUCCUGUGUUGCAGCAGUUUAGCCGGCCAGUGUUGCUGCAGCACUACCCUCUGUACCGAGACUCUGACGCUGUGUGUGACGAGCCUGAUGAGGCGCCGGGAGACAUCAAGACCACCAGGUUCAGGGAGCGGUGGGAGUGUCUCUCUAGGGAUGCAACGGAAAUGUUAGUGGAGGAGCUGUCCCCACGACUGGUGCUGAGUGGACACACCCACCACGGCUGCCAUGUGGAGCAUCCAGUGCCUCACAGUCCACCAGUGCAUGAAUAUACCAUCCCGUCCUUCUCUUGGAGAAACAAGAGGAACCCCACAUUUUCCAUGAGCAACAGCAGCACAGAAAACAUGGAGAGCCAGAGGAAGUGUCAAACCAGCCUGUGUGUGGCCAUGGCCAGCUGCAAUGGAGAGAUGGAUGGCAAAGGAAGUAAAGGAACGUGACUAAGAAGAUGGACAUGAAAUGAAUCCUUCAUGGUAAAGAUUCAUUCCAGUAUGGUUAGAAGAUAUUAACAGCACAGGAGAGGCUCAGAAAUCUCAGGAUGUUGUCUUGUUUCUUCAGACUCCCCAUCUAUCUCGGAGUGGAUAUUGAUGAUGCGAGAGGAGUUACAGGCCCAUCCAGGCAAGCAGUUCCCACUACAUACAACUUUCACAUUAAUUUCUCAAGUUUGUGUUGAGGCAAGAAAAUUGCUGUGUUAUCUGCAAAUGCAAAGGUGAGGUGUAGAUUCACCAGUCUCCAUGCACCAGCUGUUAUUCUUGAGUGGCUUAAAGUUACCUACAUGUCACCCAGGUGUUACACCAAAGAUGCACUUGGAUGAUGAUAUGGGCCCUAAAAUAUGGGUACCACUAUAAAUAAAAUUGCCUGGAAGCUUAA